rnacentral:rRNA from 1 species
GACGAACGCAGGCGGCGUGCCUAAUACAUGCAAGUAGAACGCUGAAGAGAGGAGCUUGCUCUUCUUGGAUGAGUUGCGAACGGGUGAGUAACGCGUAGGUAACCUGCCUUGUAGCGGGGGAUAACUAUUGGAAACGAUAGCUAAUACCGCAUAACAAUGGAUGACACAUGUCAUUUAUUUGAAAGGGGCAAUUGCUCCACUACAAGAUGGACCUGCGUUGUAUUAGCUAGUAGGUGAGGUAACGGCUCACCUAGGCGACGAUACAUAGCCGACCUGAGAGGGUGAUCGGCCACACUGGGACUGAGACACGGCCCAGACUCCUACGGGAGGCAGCAGUAGGGAAUCUUCGGCAAUGGGGGCAACCCUGACCGAGCAACGCCGCGUGAGUGAAGAAGGUUUUCGGAUCGUAAAGCUCUGUUGUAAGUCAAGAACGAGUGUGAGAGUGGAAAGUUCACACUGUGACGGUAGCUUACCAGAAAGGGACGGCUAACUACGUGCCAGCAGCCGCGGUAAUACGUAGGUCCCGAGCGUUGUCCGGAUUUAUUGGGCGUAAAGCGAGCGCAGGCGGUUUGAUAAGUCUGAAGUUAAAGGCUGUGGCUCAACCAUAGUUCGCUUUGGAAACUGUCAAACUUGAGUGCAGAAGGGGAGAGUGGAAUUCCAUGUGUAGCGGUGAAAUGCGUAGAUAUAUGGAGGAACACCGGUGGCGAAAGCGGCUCUCUGGUCUGUAACUGACGCUGAGGCUCGAAAGCGUGGGGAGCGAACAGG